rnacentral:rRNA from 1 species
UUAAGCGACUAAGCGUACACGGUGGAUGCCCUGGCAGUCAGAGGCGAUGAAGGACGUGCUAAUCUGCGAUAAGCGUCGGUAAGGUGAUAUGAACCGUUAUAACCGGCGAUUUCCGAAUGGGGAAACCCAGUGUGUUUCGACACACUAUCAUUAACUGAAUCCAUAGGUUAAUGAGGCGAACCGGGGGAACUGAAACAUCUAAGUACCCCGAGGAAAAGAAAUCAACCGAGAUUCCCCCAGUAGCGGCGAGCGAACGGGGAGCAGCCCAGAGCCUGAAUCAGUGUGUGUGUUAGUGGAAGCGUCUGGAAAGGCGCGCGAUACAGGGUGACAGCCCCGUACACAAAAAUGCACAUGCUGUGAGCUCGAUGAGUAGGGCGGGACACGUGGUAUCCUGUCUGAAUAUGGGGGGACCAUCCUCCAAGGCUAAAUACUCCUGACUGACCGAUAGUGAACCAGUACCGUGAGGGAAAGGCGAAAAGAACCCCGGCGAGGGGAGUGAAAAAGAACCUGAAACCGUGUACGUACAAGCAGUGGGAGCACGCUUAGGCGUGUGACUGCGUACCUUUUGUAUAAUGGGUCAGCGACUUAUAUUCUGUAGCAAGGUUAACCGAAUAGGGGAGCCGAAGGGAAACCGAGUCUUAACUGGGCGUUAAGUUGCAGGGUAUAGACCCGAAACCCGGUGAUCUAGCCAUGGGCAGGUUGAAGGUUGGGUAACACUAACUGGAGGACCGAACCGACUAAUGUUGAAAAAUUAGCGGAUGACUUGUGGCUGGGGGUGAAAGGCCAAUCAAACCGGGAGAUAGCUGGUUCUCCCCGAAAGCUAUUUAGGUAGCGCCUCGUGAAUUCAUCUCCGGGGGUAGAGCACUGUUUCGGCAAGGGGGUCAUCCCGACUUACCAACCCGAUGCAAACUGCGAAUACCGGAGAAUGUUAUCACGGGAGACACACGGCGGGUGCUAACGUCCGUCGUGAAGAGGGAAACAACCCAGACCGCCAGCUAAGGUCCCAAAGUCAUGGUUAAGUGGGAAACGAUGUGGGAAGGCCCAGACAGCCAGGAUGUUGGCUUAGAAGCAGCCAUCAUUUAAAGAAAGCGUAAUAGCUCACUGGUCGAGUCGGCCUGCGCGGAAGAUGUAACGGGGCUAAACCAUGCACCGAAGCUGCGGCAGCGACACUAUGUGUUGUUGGGUAGGGGAGCGUUCUGUAAGCCUGUGAAGGUGUGCUGUGAGGCAUGCUGGAGGUAUCAGAAGUGCGAAUGCUGACAUAAGUAACGAUAAAGCGGGUGAAAAGCCCGCUCGCCGGAAGACCAAGGGUUCCUGUCCAACGUUAAUCGGGGCAGGGUGAGUCGACCCCUAAGGCGAGGCCGAAAGGCGUAGUCGAUGGGAAACAGGUUAAUAUUCCUGUACUUGGUGUUACUGCGAAGGGGGGACGGAGAAGGCUAUGUUGGCCGGGCGACGGUUGUCCCGGUUUAAGCGUGUAGGCUGGUUUUCCAGGCAAAUCCGGAAAAUCAAGGCUGAGGCGUGAUGACGAGGCACUACGGUGCUGAAGCAACAAAUGCCCUGCUUCCAGGAAAAGCCUCUAAGCAUCAGGUAACAUCAAAUCGUACCCCAAACCGACACAGGUGGUCAGGUAGAGAAUACCAAGGCGCUUGAGAGAACUCGGGUGAAGGAACUAGGCAAAAUGGUGCCGUAACUUCGGGAGAAGGCACGCUGAUAUGUAGGUGAAGCGACUUGCUCGUGGAGCUGAAAUCAGUCGAAGAUACCAGCUGGCUGCAACUGUUUAUUAAAAACACAGCACUGUGCAAACACGAAAGUGGACGUAUACGGUGUGACGCCUGCCCGGUGCCGGAAGGUUAAUUGAUGGGGUUAGCGCAAGCGAAGCUCUUGAUCGAAGCCCCGGUAAACGGCGGCCGUAACUAUAACGGUCCUAAGGUAGCGAAAUUCCUUGUCGGGUAAGUUCCGACCUGCACGAAUGGCGUAAUGAUGGCCAGGCUGUCUCCACCCGAGACUCAGUGAAAUUGAACUCGCUGUGAAGAUGCAGUGUACCCGCGGCAAGACGGAAAGACCCCGUGAACCUUUACUAUAGCUUGACACUGAACAUUGAGCCUUGAUGUGUAGGAUAGGUGGGAGGCUUUGAAGUGUGGACGCCAGUCUGCAUGGAGCCGACCUUGAAAUACCACCCUUUAAUGUUUGAUGUUCUAACGUUGACCCGUAAUCCGGGUUGCGGACAGUGUCUGGUGGGUAGUUUGACUGGGGCGGUCUCCUCCUAAAGAGUAACGGAGGAGCACGAAGGUUGGCUAAUCCUGGUCGGACAUCAGGAGGUUAGUGCAAUGGCAUAAGCCAGCUUGACUGCGAGCGUGACGGCGCGAGCAGGUGCGAAAGCAGGUCAUAGUGAUCCGGUGGUUCUGAAUGGAAGGGCCAUCGCUCAACGGAUAAAAGGUACUCCGGGGAUAACAGGCUGAUACCGCCCAAGAGUUCAUAUCGACGGCGGUGUUUGGCACCUCGAUGUCGGCUCAUCACAUCCUGGGGCUGAAGUAGGUCCCAAGGGUAUGGCUGUUCGCCAUUUAAAGUGGUACGCGAGCUGGGUUUAGAACGUCGUGAGACAGUUCGGUCCCUAUCUGCCGUGGGCGCUGGAGAACUGAGGGGGGCUGCUCCUAGUACGAGAGGACCGGAGUGGACGCAUCACUGGUGUUCGGGUUGUCAUGCCAAUGGCACUGCCCGGUAGCUAAAUGCGGAAGAGAUAAGUGCUGAAAGCAUCUAAGCACGAAACUUGCCCCGAGAUGAGUUCUCCCUGACUCCUUGAGAGUCCUGAAGGAACGUUGAAGACGACGACGUUGAUAGGCCGGGUGUGUAAGCGCAGCGAUGCGUUGAGCUAACCGGUACUAAUGAACCGUGAGGCUUAACCUU